rnacentral:rRNA from 1 species
AACGAACGCUGGCGGCGUGCUUAACACAUGCAAGUCGAACGGAAACGCCCUGCUUUUUUGGGCUGCGCUGGUUGCGAACUGGUGAGUAACACUUGAGUUAGCUGUCCUUGCCUUUAGGAUGACUUAAUGAAAGUUGGUCUAAUACGGGAUAGGAUUUCCUGCUGUAUGGUGGGGGUUGGAAGGUUUCGGUGGUUGGCGUUGGACUCGCGCCUUAUCAGCGUGGUGGUGGGGUAGUGGCAUACCAAGUCUUUGACGGGUAGCCGGCCUGGGAGGGUGACAGGAAACAUUGGGCCUGAGAUGCGGCACGGACCCCUACGGGAGGCAGCGGUGGAGAAGAGUGCACAAUGGGCGGAAGCAUGAUGCAGCCAAGCAGCGCCCGGGAAGACGGGAAUCGGGUUGUAAACCGAUUCUCCCUGAGCCGAAGCGUGAGUGACGGUAAUGGGUAAAGAAGCACCGGCUAACUACGUG